rnacentral:lncRNA from 1 species
CAGCUGGAGUUGCGCGGGCUGACGCGCCACUAUGUAGCGGGUUUCGGGCGGGCCACGCGUGCGGGACAGGAACCCAACCCCAGCCGACCUUGAGCUCCAGGAGUUCGUCUCUUACGUCUGCGGAAGUGCAGCUGCCUCAGUUCUUAGCGCAGGUUGACAACUACAGGCACAAGCCAUUGAAGCUGGAAUGUCCUGUUGCUGGUAAAGAAAUGGAUUAGUGAUAACUCAAGUUUCAUCACCUCAGAUUGGAAGAUGCUGGCCUUGAAGAUCAGAGUGAGGCAGCCCCCAGGAGCUGGGAGAUGCCAAGGAACACAUUCCCCAUCAGAGCCUCCUGAGGAGCAUCAUUUGAUUUGGCUCAGUGAAACUGAUUUCUGACUUCUGGCCUUCAGAACUGAGAAUAAAUUGCUGUUUUAAGCCACCAAGUUAUAAUUUGUUACAGCAGCCUCUAAGAUCACAAAUAUAGCUGGGGCAAGAACCCCACCACCUCAGCCUUCCUCCC